AAGGUGGGAAUGGCCCCUGCGGGCCUAGGGCAGCCUCACGUGAGCUCACCCCCGCGCAGCACUUAGAAGAGUGGCCUGGGCCUCAGAAUUCGGUUCUACCAUGAUUUAACAAUAGUAAUAUACAGAGAAACAUGGUGGAUGGAAUGGAUCCACACAAAUUCUCCUACAACUUUAAAAAUAGACCCAUCCUUUCUCGUCGGAAUACUGUGUGGCUGUGCUACGAAGUGAAAACAAAGGGUCCCUCAAGGCCCCCUUUGGACGCAAAGAUCUUUCGAGGCCAGGUGUAUUUCGAGCUUAAGAACCACCCAGAGAUGAGAUUCUUCCACUGGUUCAGCAAGUGGAGGACGCUGCAUCGUGACCAGGAGUGCGAGGUCACCUGGUACAUGUCCUGGAGCCCCUGCACAAAGUGUACAAGGAAUGUGGCCACGUUCCUGGCCGAGGACCCGAAGGUUACCCUGACCAUCUUUGUUGCCCGCCUCUACUACUUCUGGGACCCAGAUUACCAGGAGGCGCUUCGCAGCCUGUGUCGGGAAAGAGACGGUC
rnacentral:sRNA from 1 species